GUAGGUGAACCUGCGGAGGGAUCAUUACCGAGUGAGGGCCCCCGGGCCCGACCUCCAACCCCAUGUUAACUGACCCUGUUGCCUCGGGGGCGACCCGGCCUCACCGCCGGGGCCCCCGACGGACCUCACAACCCUGCAUCUUUGCGUCCGAGUCAAUAUUUGAAUAAAUCAAAACUUUCAACAACGGAUCUCUUGGUUCUG
rnacentral:misc_RNA from 1 species